GUUGAUUCUGGACAAAGAAAGAUAACUCCAAUUAAAAAAAAAUCUUGCUAUUGCACAAUAUUUUGCAAUUAGAUAUUUCUUGCUUACUAUUCUGGACAAAGAAAGAUAACUCUAAUUAAAUUUUUUUUUGAUAUUUCACAAUAUUGUGCAAUUAGAUAUUUCUUGCCAUUGCGCAAUACUGUGCAAUUGAAAAGACUUGCUAUUGCACAAUACUUAAUAUAAUAAUUUUAGAUCCUGAUUUGGACCAACUUGAAAACUGGGCCCAUAAUAAAAAAAUCUAAGUACAUUUUUGAAUUCAGCAUAUCAAAGAACUUCAAGAUUUCAAUUUUUGUUAAAAUCAGACUAAGUUUAAUUUUGGACCCUUUGGACUUUAGUGUAGACCAAUUUGAAAACAGGACCAAAAAUGAAGAAUCUACAUACACAGUUAGAUUUGGUAUAUCAAAGAACCCCAUUUAUUCAAUUUUUGAUGAAAUCAAACAAAGUUUAAUUUUGGACCCCGAUUUGGACCAACUUGAAAACUGGGCCAAUAAUGAAGAAUCUAAGUACAUUUUUAGAUUCAGCAUAUCAAAGAACCUAACUGAUUCAUUUUUUGUCAAAAUCAAACUAAGUUUAAUUUUGGACCCUUUGGACCUUAAUGUAGACCAAUUUGAAAACGGGACCAAAAGUUAAGAAUCUACAUACACAGUCAUGACAGUUAGAUUCAGCAUAUCAAAGAACCCCAAUUAUUCAAUUUUGAUGAAAUCAAACAAAAGUUUAAUUUUGGACCCUUUGGGCCCCUUAUUAUGUUGGGACCAAAACUCCCAAAAUCAAACCCAACCUUUCUUUUAUGGUCAUAAACCUUGUGUUUAAAUUUCAUAGAUUUCUAUUUACUUAUACUAACGUUAUGGUGCGAAAACAAAGAAAAAUGCUUAUUUGGGUCCCUUUUUGGCCCCUAAUUCCUAAACUGUUGGGACCUAAACUCCCAAAAUCAAUACCAACCUUCCUUUUGUAGUCAUUAACAUUGUGUUUAAAUUUCAUUGAUUUCUAUUUACUUAAACUAAUGUUAUUGUGCGAAAACCAAGAAUAAUGCUUAUUUGGGCCCUUUUUUGGCCCCUUAUUCCUAAACUGUUGAGACCAAAACUCCCAAAAUCAAUCCCAACCGUUCUUUUGUGGUCAUAAACCUUGUGUCAAAAUUUCAUAGAUUUCUAUUAACUUAAACUAAAGUUAUAGUGCGAAAACCAAGAAAAUGCUUAUUUGGGCCCUUUUUGGCCCUAAUUCCUAAAAAUGUUGGGACCAAAACUCCCAAAAUCAAUACCAACCUUCCUUUUGUGGUCAUAAACCUUGUGUUAAAAUUGCAUAGAUUUCCAUUCACUUUUACUAAAGUUAGAGUGCGAAAACUAAAAGUAUUCGGACGCCGGACGACGACGCCGACGCCAACGUGAUAGCAAUAUACGACGAAAAUUUUUUCAAAAUUUGCGGUCGUAUAAAAAAUGCUUGUUUUUAGCCCUUUUUUGGCCCCUUAUUCCUGCAUGAAUGGAGCAAUAACCCCAAACUCAAUCCCAGCUUUCCUUUUGUUUUUUGGAACUUUGUGGUACAAUGUCAGAGAAAUCCAU
rnacentral:lncRNA from 1 species